AUGCGAAACAGGGUGGCAUGCCGCCCUGUCUGCCCGGCGUGGUGGUCGGGUACUGAUGAGCAGCCAGGG
rnacentral:hammerhead_ribozyme from 1 species